rnacentral:rRNA from 1 species
GAAUGAACGCUGGCGGCGUGCUUAACACAUGCAAGUCGAACGAGAAAGGGAUUGCUUGCAAUCCUGAGUAGAGUGGCGCACGGGUGAGUAACACGUAGAUAAUCUGCCUUCAAGUCCGGGAUAACCAAUCGAAAGGUUGGCUAAUACCGGAUGAAGUGUUUUUGCGCAGGUAAAAACAUGAAAGAUAGCCUCUUCUUGAAAGCUAUUGCUUGGGGAUGAGUCUGCGGACCAUUAGCUUGUUGGUGGGGUAACGGCCUACCAAGGCUGCGAUGGUUAGCUGGUCUGAGAGGAUGAUCAGCCACACUGGAACUGGAACACGGUCCAGACUCCUACGGGAGGCAGCAGUGAGGAAUUUUGCGCAAUGGGGGCAACCCUGACGCAGCAACGCCGCGUGAGUGAAGAAGGCCUUUGGGUCGUAAAGCUCUGUCAACUGGGACGAAAUUGUCUGAUAUUAAUAGUGUCAGUCAUUGACGGUACCAGUGGAGGAAGCGCCGGCUAACU